rnacentral:rRNA from 1 species
CAGUAGCCGCGGUAAUACGGAGGGCGCGAGCGUUACCCGGAUUUACUGGGCGUAAAGGGCGUGUAGGCGGCCUGGGGCGUCCCAUGUGAAAGGCCACGGCUCAACCGUGGAGGAGCGUGGGAUACGCUCAGGCUAGAGGGUGGGAGAGGGUGGUGGAAUUCCCGGAGUAGCGGUGAAAUGCGCAGAUACCGGGAGGAACGCCGAUGGCGAAGGCAGCCACCUGGUCCACUUCUGACGCUGAGGCGCGAAAGCGUGGGGAGCAAACCGGAUUAGAUACCCCAGUAGUCCCUGUCUCUUUACA